rnacentral:rRNA from 1 species
UACGUAGGGUGCGAGCGUUGUCCGGAAUUAUUGGGCGUAAAGGGCUCGUAGGCGGUUUGUCGCGUCGGGAGUGAAAACUCAGGGCUUAACCCUGAGCCUGCUUCCGAUACGGGCAGACUAGAGGUAUGCAGGGGAGAACGGAAUUCCUGGUGUAGCGGUGAAAUGCGCAGAUAUCAGGAGGAACACCGGUGGCGAAGGCGGUUCUCUGGGCAUUACCUGACGCUGAGGAGCGAAAGCGUGGGGAGCAAACAGG